UGGAUAGUAUUCGCUUUGAAACUGUACCACUUUAUAUUUUUACUAUUAUCCGUUCGCCUGUAUCCGCUCGGAACAGGACUAUACG
rfam:Eubacterium sp. CAG:202 genomic scaffold, scf16